rnacentral:rRNA from 1 species
UCGACGAUGAAUCUUCUAGCUUGCUAGAAGUGGAUUAGUGGCGCACGGGUGAGUAAUGCAUAGGUUAUGUGCCCUUUAGUCUGGGAUAGCCACUGGAAACGGUGAUUAAUACUGGAUACUCCCUACGGGGGAAAGUUUUUCGCUAAAGGAUCAGCCUAUGUCCUAUCAGCUUGUUGGUGAGGUAAUGGCUCACCAAGGCUAUGACGGGUAUCCGGCCUGAGAGGGUGAUCGGACACACUGGAACUGAGACACGGUCCAGACUCCUACGGGAGGCAGCAGUAGGGAAUAUUGCUCAAUGGGGGAAACCCUGAAGCAGCAACGCCGCGUGGAGGAUGAAGGUUUUAGGAUUGUAAACUCCUUUUGUUAGAGAAGAUUAUGACGGUAUCUAACGAAUAAGCACCGGCUAACUCCGUGCCAGCAGCCGCGGUAAUACGGAGGGUGCAAGCGUUACUCGGAAUCACUGGGCGUAAAGAGUGCGUAGGCGGGGUAAUAAGUCAGAUGUGAAAUCCUGUAGCUUAACUACAGAACUGCAUUUGAAACUGUUACUCUGGAGUGUGGGAGAGGUAGGUGGAAUUCUUGGUGUAGGGGUAAAAUCCGUAGAGAUCAAGAGGAAUACUCAUUGCGAAGGCGACCUGCUGGAACAUUACUGACGCUGAUGCACGAAAGCGUGGGGAGCAAACAGGAUUAGAUACCCUGGUAGUCCACGCCCUAAACGAUGGAUGCUAGUUGUUGCCUUGCUUGUCAGGGCAGUAAUGCAGCUAACGCAUUAAGCAUCCCGCCUGGGGAGUACGGUCGCAAGAUUAAAACUCAAAGGAAUAGACGGGGACCCGCACAAGCGGUGGAGCAUGUGGUUUAA